CCUUGACCUCAAAUCGGGUGAGACUACCCGCUGAACU
rnacentral:rRNA from 2 species